UACGUAGGCAGCGAGCGUUGUUCGGAAUUACUGGGCGUAAAGAGUGUGUAGGCGGUGCUCUAAGUUCGGUGUGAAAUCUCCUGGCUCAACUGGGAGGGUGCGCCGGAAACUGGAGUGCUUGAGCGUGGGAGAGGAAAGCGGAAUUCCUGGUGUAGCGGUGAAAUGCGUAGAUAUCAGGAGGAACACCUGUGGUGUAGACGGCUUCUGGACCAUAGCUGGCGCUGAGACACGAAAGCGUGGGUAGCAAACAGG
rnacentral:rRNA from 1 species